GUUGGAUUGAUCGAUCAUUGAGUUGGUAGCUCUGGUCCAAUCAAUAAUUUUAAAUCGAGUAGACCGAGCCUUGGGCCGAAAUGAGAGUUGAUGCCUAUAGAUUCAAAUGCCAUCCUCUUGCCUAGAUUGUCAAGGGGUUGUAUCAUCCAAACUAAUGUUCAGUAUUAUAUUAGGUUAUGAUUAUCUAUGCUUGUAGAUUGCAACUCUCCUUGUUCAUCUCAUCAUCCUCCUA
rnacentral:lncRNA from 1 species